GAUGAACGCUGGCGGCGUGCCUAAUACAUGCAAGUCGAGCGAACAGAUGAGGAGCUUGCUCCUCUGACGUUAGCGGCGGACGGGUGAGUAACACGUGGAUAACCUACCUAUAAGACUGGGAUAACUUCGGGAAACCGGAGCUAAUACCGGAUAAUAUAUUCAACCGCAUGGUUCAAUAGUGAAAGACGGUUUUGCUGUCACUUAUAGAUGGAUCCGCGCCGCAUUAGCUAGUUGGUAAGGUAACGGCUUACCAAGGCAACGAUGCGUAGCCGACCUGAGAGGGUGAUCGGCCAAACUGGAACUGAGACACGGUCCAGACUCCUACGGGAGGCAGCAGUGGGGAAUAUUCCGCAAUGGGCGAAAGCCUGACGGAGCAACGCCGCGUGAGUGAUGAAGGUCUUCGGAUCGUAAAACUCUGUUAUUAGGGAAGAACAAAUGUGUAAGUAACUAUGCACGUCUUGACGGUACCUAAUCAGAAAGCAACGGCUAACUACGUG
rnacentral:rRNA from 1 species